GACGAACGCUGGCGGCGUUCCUAAUACAUGCAAGUCGACCUUAGUUGCUAACGGGUGAGUAACACGUGGGUAACCUGCCCAUCAGAAGAGGAUAACACUUGAAAACAGGUGCUAAUACCGUAUACUGAUGGAUGGACCCGCGGUGCAUUAGCUAGUUGGUGAGUGAACGGCUCACCAAGGCCACGAUGCAUAGCCGACCUGAGAGGGUGAUCGGCCACAUUGGGACUGAGACACGGCCCAAACUCCUACGGGAGGCAGCAGUAGGGAAUCUUCGGCAAUGGACGAAAGUCGUACCGAGCAACGCCGCGUGAGUGAAGAAGGUUUUCGGAUCGUAAAACUCUGUUGUUAGAGAAGCGGUAUCUAACCAGAAAGCCACGGCUAACGACGGGCCAGCAGCCGCGGUAAUUC
rnacentral:rRNA from 1 species